rnacentral:snRNA from 1 species
AAGACGACAUACUCUCUU